AGUGAACGCUGGCGGUAGGCCUAACACAUGCAAGUCGAACGGCAGCACAGUAAGAGCUUGCUCUUACGGGUGGCGAGUGGCGGACGGGUGAGGAAUACAUCGGAAUCUACUUUUUCGUGGGGGACAACGUAGGGAAACUUACGCUAAUACCGCAUACGACCUACGGGUGAAAGCAGGGGAUCUUCGGACCUUGCGCGAUUGAAUGAGCCGAUGUCGGAUUAGCUAGUUGGCGGGGUAAAGGCCCACCAAGGCGACGAUCCGUAGCUGGUCUGAGAGGAUGGUAGCGCCCACGUGGAAGUGAGACGCGACCCAGCCCCCGAGGGAGGGCAGAGAGGGGGAAGGUUGGCAAAGGGGGGAAAGCCUGAACCAGCCUUGCCGGGUGGGUGAAGAAGCCCUUGGGUUUUUAAACCCUUUUUUUGGGAAAAAAAAAGCGGCGGGUUAAACCCCCGGUUUUGUAAGGGAACCAAAAAAAAAGCCCCCGCCAAACUUGGU
rnacentral:rRNA from 1 species